UGGGGAAUCUUGCGCAAUGCGCGAAAGCGUGACGCAGCAACGCCGCGUGGGGGACGAAGGCCUUCGGGUCGUAAACCCCUUUCAGGAGGGACGAAGUGUCGGCCGUUAACAGCGGUCCGGCAUGACGGUACCUCCAGAAGAAGCCCCGGCUAACUACGUGCCAGCAGCCGCGGUAAUACGUAGGGGGCAAGCGUUGUCCGGAAUCAUUGGGCGUAAAGAGCGCGUAGGCGGUCCGGUAAGUCCGUUGUGAAAGUCAAGGGCUCAACCCUUGAAUGCCGGCGGAUACUGUCGGACUAGAGUCCGGAAGAGGCGAGUGGAAUUCCUGGUGUAGCGGUGAAAUGCGCAGAUAUCAGGAGGAACACCCAUGGCGAAGGCAGCUCGCUGGGACGGUACUGACGCUGAGGCGCGAAAGCGUGGGGAGCAAACAGG
rnacentral:rRNA from 1 species